CCCUUAGAUGUUCUGGGCCGCACGCGCGCUACACUGUUCGACGCAGCGAGUCUUAACCUUGACCGAAAGGUUUGGGUAAUCCUCAGCAAAGUCGAACGUGAUGGGGAUCGAUCAUUGCAAUUAUUGAUCGUGAACGAGGAAUUCCUAGUAAGUGCAAGUCAUCAGCUUGCGCUGAUUACGUCCCUGCCCUUUGUACACACCGCCCGUCGCUACUACCGAUUGAAUGGUUUAGUGAGAUCUCUGGAUUGACGCUGGCUAGGGGGCGACCCUUGGCCAGACUGUUGAGAAACUGCUCAAACUUGAUCAUUUAGAGGAAGUAAAAGUCGUAACA
rnacentral:rRNA from 1 species